CCUACGGGGGGCAGCAGUGGGGAAUCUUGCGCAAUGGGCGAAAGCCUGACGCAGCAACGCCGCGUGCGGGAAGAAGGCUUUCGGGCUGUAAACCGCUUUCAGCAGGAACGAAAAUGACGGUACCUGCAGAAGAAGGAGCGGCCAACUAUGUGCCAGCAGCCGCGGUGAUACAUAGGCUUCAAGCGUUGUCCGGAUUUAUUGGGCGUAAAGAGUUCGUAGGCGGUCAAGUAAGUCGGGUGUGAAAAUUCUGGGCUCAACCCAGAGACGCCACCCGAUACUGCUUAACUUGAGUUCGAUAGGGGAGUGGGGAAUUCCUAGUGUAGCGGUGAAAUGCGCAGAUAUUAGGAGGAACACCGGUGGCGAAGGCGCCACUCUGGAUCGAUACUGACGCUGAGGAACGAAAGCAUGGGUAGCAAACAGGAUUAGAUACCCUGGUAGUCCAUGCCGUAAACGGUGGGCACUAGGUGUGGGUUUCUAUUAACGAAAUCCGCGCCGUCGCUAACGCAUUAAGUGCCCCGCCUGGGGAGUACGGUCGCAAGACUAAACUCAAGGAAUUGACGG
rnacentral:rRNA from 1 species